rnacentral:snoRNA from 1 species
CCUGCCCUUAGAAGCAUUGCAGAUUGUGCCCCAUUUGUUUCAGCAGUUGGCAAAGAGUCUAAACAUUGCAUCUACAAACAUUUGAAUGAUUAGUAGCCUAAUAUU